CUGCGGACUGAAGGCUGUCGGGAGGAAAAAGCAUCAUCGAGGCAGAGAAAACUGAAGAGUGUGGCCGACAAAAGUGAGGAAGAAAGGUCACGGUAGUAUCGGUUGAAGUCAUGAAUCAGGAGCGAACGUUACAAUAGAUUCUGUAAUGAAAAUAAAAGAUUUAUGACAUAAUGUCACUUCAAACAAAGUGCUCUGGGCAUCUCUGGUGUCACUUCAUCUCUUGAAGUAGUUCAGUUAACCAUGACACUCUGCAAGAUCCGUGUGCACAGAAUCCCCACAGGCAAAAUUUGGUCCAGCAACCCAUUGCCUUUUCAUUCCAAGGAGUAAUGAGAGCAUCAAUCAAAUUGUGUGCCAGAGCUUUGGGAAAAAUCUCAAGUUCCAUCAGAAACCACAAUGUCCAUCAGCUUUGUUUCCUCCAGGCCUUCGUUGACUCUUGCUCAUUACUGUUUUAUUACUGGUGUUGCUGCUAUUUUUUGAUGAAAUAGAAUGACUUGUAGUAG